rnacentral:rRNA from 1 species
UACGUAGGGUGCAAGCGUUAAUCGGAAUUACUGGGCGUAAAGCGUGCGCAGGCGGUUUUGUAAGUCUGAUGUGAAAUCCCCGGGCUCAACCUGGGAAUUGCAUUGGAGACUGCAAGGCUAGAAUCUGGCAGAGGGGGGUAGAAUUCCACGUGUAGCAGUGAAAUGCGUAGAGAUGCGGAGGAACACCGAUGGCGAAGGCAGCCCCCUGGGUCAAGAUUGACGCUCAUGCACGAAAGCGUGGGGAGCAAACAGG